GAGACUCUGUCUCAAAAACAAACAAACAAACAAACAAACAAACCACCCCACACUUAACAUGAGUCAGGGUGUGACUCAGUGGUUAAGUGCUUGCCGUUCAUCUAUGAAGCUCUGGGUUCUUAGGCAGCACAGGGAUGUGGAGGGGGCGGUAGAUCUUGCGACUGAAAUUAAAGUAGACAGGGUGUGAUGCUUGCUACUUCGUGAGGAUCUAGAGUCAGCUGGGAGACAAGCCUCUGAGUAGGCCUGUGAGGGACAGAGACAUUCCGUCAGCCACAGUUGUUAACUGAUUGGCAUUGCAAGACAAGGAAAGGGGGGAGGGGGAGGAGGCUAUGACGACAGUGGUGGCAAUGAUACUUCUGGUUUUGUUUUUGUUUAAAAAAAAAACCACGAAGUGCUAACAUAGAGUUUUCAAAAAGAGAGGUGUAUUUUAUUCAUAUUUACCCAAGGUGAUACGGAGAGCUCUCUGAACAAGGAGCUGCUGUCAUGGGAGGAACCGAGUGUGGACACCCCGGGGUGGUCGGAGAAGCUUGGGUCUGCGGGAAAGCUCCUGACCCACAGCUAGCUCCAAAGGAGAAAGCAUACUUGAUCUGCCUCGAAGGUUCUGACCUGAUGGCGACCCGCCAAGUGACAUGCCUGGGAAGAUUUCACAACUGCUGUCUCCAGGUUGGGUGGCAGAAACGAACGUUCCAGGAUGUUGCUAGAUCUCAGCCUCCAAAAAGUCAGUUCCUUGUCCAGCUGGAAGAUGCUACGUAUUUCCUCUCUUCCACUCCGACCGAC